GCAGAGAUGCGGGGUGCCCGAAAGGGAAUUGGAACACAGGUGCUGCAUGGCUGUCGUCAGCUCGUGUCGUGAGAUGUUGGGUUAAGUCCCGCAACGAGCGCAACCCUUAUCAUUAGUUGCUACGCAAGGGCACUCUAAUGAGACUGCCGGUGACAAACCGGAGGAAGGUGGGGAUGACGUCAAGUCCUCAUGGCCCUUAUGGGUAGGGCUUCACACGUCAUACAAUGGUCGGUACAGAGGGUUGCCAAGCCGCGAGGUGGAGCCAAUCCCAGAAAGCCGAUCGUAGUCCGGAUUGUUCUCUGCAACUCGAGAGCAUGAAGUCGGAAUCGCUAGUAAUCGCGGAUCAGCAUGUCGCGGUGAAUACGUUCCCGGGUCUU
rnacentral:rRNA from 1 species